rnacentral:rRNA from 1 species
UACGAAGGGGGGCUAGCGUUGCUCGGAAUCACUGGGCGUAAAGCGCACGUAGGCGGAUCUUUAAGUCAGGGGUGAAAUCCCGGAGCUCAACUCCAGAACUGCCUUUGAUACUGAGGAUCUUGAGUAUGGGAGAGGUGAGUGGAACUGCGAGUGUAGAGGUGAAAUUCGUAGAUAUUCGCAAGAACACCAGUGGCGAAGGCGGCUCACUGGCCCAUUACUGACGCUGAGGCACGAAAGCGUGGGUAGCAAACAGG